rnacentral:lncRNA from 10 species
CAGCACACUGUCUGCUUGUGCCUGCUUUUACCCAGGUCAGGUUUGCUGGCUUUUCCACCAUGGGCAGAUGAUGCCACAGAGAGGGGUUAUCAGUGAGCAGUACCAUGCAACAUGCAGUGCAGCAGAAACAACAGCUAAGAAAAGACAUUUCCUCAUGAUUAAUUUCAGACCAUACAUCUUUGGCAAGAGUUUCACAGAAACUUCUCAUCGCAUCUUAUCAGGCGGCACACGAUUCUGUUUUGUCUUGGAAUGAAGGAUGCUGACUUUGAUCACUUGCUUGCCGUAGUGUCUGCCAGCCGUCUCCACCAUCAAGCUACUCUUUUCUUCUUUGCUGAGUCUCUGUCGCCAGGCUGAAGUGCAGUGGCACGAUCUCAGCUCACUGCAACCUCUGCCUCCUGGGUUCAAGCGAUUCCCUGACCCAGCCUCCUGAGUAGCUGAGACCACAGGAGCCUUGGACACCUACUUGCAAGUCCUCAGGAGGAUAGGCUAUUGGAGAUCUGGGUUCCAAACACAGAGAUACUGGAAUGAAGAAGACAGCGGCUCUCUGAUGAGCUUUCUGGGGUUUGGAAGAGUUCAGGUACUGCUGCCACCGUUUAUGUAUCCAAGUCACUGCAGAGCCAGUUGCUGUUGACCAGCUAAUCCAGUACAGCUUGAUUCAGCAUAUAUCCAACACCUGUAUGUGUAAUUCACUGGUUUAGGGCUCAGAGUUAUCAAAGAGAGCUGUGCAUGGUCCCAGCCCUUGAGGAACCCACAGCCUGGUAAGGAUUGGACAGUGACAGAGGUGGCAUGUGGGAGGGAAUAAGGCAAUGCACAGACAACCUAAUUCUAGGAAAUCAAGGACUCUCUUUUCCAAAAUUUUUAUGGGUCCCAUUCCCACUGGCCAUGCUGGGCCUGGAGCAUGUGUGGAUGUGGCCACAUAGGACCCUCUGUCCAAAGCAGAAAAUAGGAGCUCAUUCAUGGCCCUGGGGCUGGAGACAUGGCUUCUACCUGCCUUUUCCACUUGUCACAGCGAGAGAGGCUUCUACCACAUAUUUUGCUGGGGUGAGACCAUAUACUGCACAUCUGUGGGGUGUGGUGGAAGGAGCUCCAGAGGGCAGCCUGGAGGUCCAAGACCCAGCCCGGCCUUUGCACUCACUGGCCGUGUUAGCUUCGUCAUGUCCUGACCUCUCUAGCAUGUCCUGACCUCUCUAGGACAGCAUACAUGUCCUCAUCUGUGCACAAAGUGGUUGGAAGAGUUCAUUUCUGAGGUCCCCUCUGGAUUUGCUGCUGUGGCUACCCAAACUCUGUUCAACCCCAUGAGCUCCCGACUUCAUGCACAAGGGGAAAACCCUCAGCCUCCAGCCUCCCCUUGAGCCUCCAGCUCCCUCUUCUAGGUGGGAGGGUCCCUCUCUUUGGGCUCCUGUGGGAAAGAAGCAAACACUAUCAACCCUUACUGGUCUCCUGGAAAAUGGUCCCUCCAGGCUUCUUUUUGUCCCAGCCUGGCUUCCUUCCCUCCUCUCAGUACACCUGUGCACAUGCUUGCCUUCUCCCUAACCUCAUCCCAAGUGCCACUGUGAAUCAGGGAAUUGAAACCGUUUUUCAUAUUAAGCAAAGCAUCUGCCACAAAAUCCCAUCGCACCUUUAAAAUCCAAUUAGCAGUGAUUUGGGAGGAUGUUCUUUUUUAGGACUGGAUCAUCCAUUUGCUCCAUUAGAAUAAUUGCAAGUUGACUUGAACAGGCACUGAGAUCCCCAAUGUAAAGCCCUGUCAGGGCCCUUUAGGAGCCACCUCUAUGAGAAAGAUGACGUUGAUGUGGAUAAGCAAAGUGCAAUGGAGACCCGGUGGCACAAUGAAGUUAUGAAGAAGUUACUUCAUAGCUUUUUAUUGGGCAGUGGUCUUGUGAAUGUCUCAGGUAGGGAGGUACUAUUGGGGAUAAUGGCACCUGUUAGGACAGUGGAUGCUGGUGUGUGUGCAUAUGUGUGUGCAUUCAUGUGCGUGUGUAUGAGUAUGUGUGUUUGUGAAGUUAGAAAGAAUGUGGUUGGUUAGGGCUUCCAGGCUUCCAAAUGCCUGGAAGAAGGUGAGUUUUUAUAUCAGCUCCAGCAUCUGUAGGAAAGCCGGAGAAGAACACUAGCAUCCCCAGCAUCCCUUCUGUGGAGCUGAACCCCUCAGCCUCUCCAGAUAGGGGAUCCUUGUUUUCAUCCCUGGAGACCCAGCCCUCUUGCAAAUGGCUCUCCAUAGAGGCAAUGUCUCCAGAGAGACUUAAUUGGCAAUGCUUCACUGAGCACAGAAACCUGGGAUAUGACAGUUCCUGCUCUUUAAAUUGUCAAGGAAGGCAAUGUGCUCUGAACUGCAGCUGCUGGGAGUGCAGGGGGACCCAUCUUAGAGUCUCCUCCGCCUUCCAGCCUCUGCUUCUGAAUGUUCUGGGAACAAGAAACAGCAACAGAGAAAUGAACAGGUAGAUGGAGCACGAUGAGCAACAUAAGCUCAACGAGCCUUUUUAUGGUCAGGCCAUGAGGAUCCUGGGGAAGGCAAACCUGGCUUUGCUAUCCAGUGCCAGGACCAUGUGAACUGAGUGCAGCUGACACUCUGUGGGCACAGCCGGGGCUGAGCCAUGUUUUGGCUGUUUCCCCAUGGUUCUGCCCCUUGAAGCAUAAAGUUGUGUCACCUGGUGAUCCAAGUCUUGAUGAUUCAGGGCUCUUUCUGGGGUGAGACUUCAUCUGAACAGCUGUCCUAGGGCUGGGAUGAUAGGGAGCCAGGAGGCACAUGUGUGGAGACCUCUCUAGGUUUUCCCACUAAGGGAAGGAGAGUCCUGGACAGGGCUGGGGAAAGGAAGGAAUGUGAUAGCGGACAGAUGAAAUCAGGAGCAGAGGCAGCAAAAGAUUAGGACUUGGGUGAAGAAAGGUAGAAAUAGGGCCAUGUGCGGUAGCUCAUGCCUGUAAUCCCAGCACUUUGGGAGGUUGAGGUGGGCAGAUCAUGAGGUCAGGAGUUGGAGACCAGCCUGACCAACAUGGUGAAACCCCAUCUCUACUAAAAAACAAAAAUUAGCCAGGGGUGGUGGCACGCGCCUUUAAUCCCAGCUACUCAGGAGGCCAAAGCAGGAGAAUAGCUUGAACCUGGGAUGUGGAGGUUGCAGUGAGCCAAGAUUGCACCACUGCACACCAGCCUGGGUGGAAGAGCGAGACUCCAUCUCAAAAAAAAAAAAAAAAAAAAGGUAGAAAUAGGUGAGGUCGUGAGUAAAUCCUAAAGAAAGUUUUCCUAGAGGGUUCUUAAUUGAGAAGGAUACCAUGGAAGGCUAGGAUCAGUUCAUGACCUUGACAUAUUUACUCGGAGCUUGGACCAGUCCAUUAUUUUCUAUUUCAUAUGCCACAUCUGAAACACUUUUGAUUCAUCCAGUUUAUUUCUUAGCCUGACCUUUGUUAGUAAUUUCCUUGAGGACAGUUGUUAUGUGUGCAUUUAUUAUGCAGCCAGGGCAUAGGAAGCAGGGAAAUGCCCAUUCCACUCUUCCCUUCCUCUUGCCGUAGUUUUUAAAUAAUAAGGCUCCUUCUGUUUUCUGUUUUUGUGCAUUGUCUUCUGAAAGCAGAUGGGGGAAAUAAAUCAGGUAGGGAAAUAGGAAGAAAGUAAACUGCUGUUCUUCAAUUAGAUUAGGACAGAGUACUUCCUGGGACAGCAUACAAAGUAAUUAUAUAUUUGUUGAAUGAAGUAUCCAGAGAUCCCAGGAUCAAAUUUGGGAAUGUAUAGCCAAAAGGACAUAGAAAAAAAAUCAUCUUUUUUGGUCUCCCACUGACUUGCCCUUGGCCUCUAUGUAAAGUUGCUGGUGCAUCCUCAACUGCCAACUGCUGUAGUUUUAUUUCACAUGUCUGUUGUGUGUGCGGGACUCCUAGCCUCACCACUCUAUCUUGUGAAGCUGGGGCUUUCACAAUGUGGUUCAUGCCUCCAGGACACACAGUCCUAGAGCUUUAAUGUAUACCAACCUAUGACACUCCUCAAUUCAUCCUUGCUAAUCAAUUGGUCUCUAAUUACCUCCAUUAGCAUUCUUAUUAGCUCCACAUCAGGAACUCUGAACCUGUGGACUCUUCUCUUUAGCGAUCUCUGCACCUGCGGUCCUAUCAAAGCAAGAUCUGGGCCUUAAUAUUUAUAAACAUUAGGCUAAUUUCAAUUAGCUCUCUCCUGCUCCUUUUCCUCUUCUUCUUCCUCCUUCCUGCUCCCCGUCAUUGCCCGUGUGGAUUAACAUUUACACUCUUCUGGCUUAACUUCUACUGUGGAUAUCCAGUCUUAUCCAGCCGUGAGAUACAGGCAUAGGAGUUUCCAAAAAAAUCUUCACUUUACAGCAGGUUGAUUUAGACCCAGCAAGGGCUGGCCAGGCUCACAUGGACAGCACACCUCUAUUCAGUGAGCUUUCUCAGUCUUCUUAGAACCCAUAGUACCAAACACCAUUUACAACAGAGUAGGUGCUCCAUAAAUCUGUGGCUGUACUGCAAAAUAUUGGAAUAUGUUCUCUCUUGGAAAUAUUCUGUUCUUCAGCAUCUUCUCCUUAAUCCCCAUAUGAUCAUGACCAUCAUCAUCAUCACCACCACCACCACCACCACUGCCACCACUAUCUUCAUCAUCUUAGAGCUCCAUAGUGCUGAAACUCACAGCCAUAGUGGCUGAUGGAAAAAUCCAUGCACAGGGAGGAAAUGUGACUAUCUCAGCUGAUAGCCCUCUGCAUCUGAGGCAGAGCAUCCUGCCCUGACACGUCUGUGUAGCUGUGGCACCGCCAUCUGGAAGCCUCUUCUCCCACCUUUAAUGCUGUCAGCCAAGCUAGUUGAUUAGUUUCUUCCAUUCAGUUGCGUCCUGCCGCUCUCUUGCUGCAAAAAUGUUCAGAGAACAGAUUGCAUAGAUGAGCACAUUUCAGAACUUGGUCUGUUUACUUCCCUCUGUUUCCCAUCCUGUGCUGGUGGGUGGUCUUAUGCGACAAGCAAGGUUAACAACGCCUUCCUUGGGCUGAUCCCUCCUAUAGUGAGCACGGGGAGAAUGAGGCAUCUCUCCCUAGUUACAAAUGCUGCAGGCCUCUCCUACCUUAGUUCAGAUUCAAGGACCGAGAACCGAAGGUGGAAUGCCCACAGUCCUCCAUGGUGAACAGAUAAAGCAAAUAGGAUCCAGCUGGGUUUCCAUGAGCCCAAGUGGCUUGUGUACCCUGAUUCCUAACCUUGAGCACAACUGUACCCAAGAAGACGCUUGGAACUCUGGAAGAUCCAGAUGCUAAUUAAGUAGGGAAGGGCUAUGGGGAGCCACCAUGAUGAUCAUUCAACCUAGAUAUUCCCUAUGUUCUCACAAGCCUCUUUUGUACUGGACAACUCCACAAAACCAUCCAGCAUAAGCACUGAUGAUCAGAGAACUCUGAUCUUUAUGGGGAGUAAGCAAACUCCACAUUUUCUAGAUCCAGGCAAGGAACAAUACUUAAGUAUUGCCUACACUGAAUGGGGCUAGAGGUUAGCUUAUUUUGCAAUUAAAAUGAAGUGUGGUUCUAUUUAUAUAAAGUUCUAGAACAGACUAAGAGUCUAUUGCAGAAAAGGUCAAGAAGGUGGUUGCCUUGAGGUAUCCGGGGGAGGGAGGAGGGAAUUCCUGAAGAAGGGCCACUAGAGAAUUUUCAAGGGUGUUGGCAAAGUUCUGUAUCUUCAUGUGGAUUUGGGUUGCAACAGGUAUCUGCAUUUAUCAACAUUUAGCAAAUGUACUCUUAAGAUUUGUGCAUUUUAUCAUAUGUAAAUUGUACCUCAAAGGAAAUCUGUAACAAAUCUUGAAAUCUAGUUAAUGAUAUCCAUGCUGGAGUAUUUAGGGAGAA